rnacentral:rRNA from 1 species
ACGAACGCUGGCGGCAGGCCUAACACAUGCAAGUCGAACGGCAGCACAGAAGAGCUUGCUCUUUGGGUGGCGAGUGGCGGACGGGUGAGUAAUGUCUGGGAAACUGCCCGAUGGAGGGGGAUAACUACUGGAAACGGUAGCUAAUACCGCAUAACGUCGCAAGACCAAAGUGGGGGACCUUCGGGCCUCACACCAUCGGAUGUGCCCAGAUGGGAUUAGCUAGUAGGUGGGGUAAUGGCUCACCUAGGCGACGAUCCCUAGCUGGUCUGAGAGGAUGACCAGCCACACUGGAACUGAGACACGGUCCCACG